rnacentral:misc_RNA from 1 species
CGCACCUUGCGCCACGUGGUAUUCCACGAGGCACGCCUGUUUGAGUGUCACGAUCACCCUCGCGUCACCGAAUGUCAUGUUCGGCGGGGCGGAUUUGGACGUUGCCGUCGUUGGCUCGUCUCGAAAUGCAUUAGCUGUCUAAGGACUACGCCUCUGGUGUGAUAAUUUACUUUACGCCGUCGGUGCAGUCUGGUGAAGGCUCACAAAUCGUCCGAGAGGACAAUUUUUAAAGCUUUGGCCUCAAAUCAGGCGGGACUACCCGCUGAACUUAA